CCCCUCUCAGGAUCGCACCUGGAGAGUUUCCCGUACUCUACCAGAGUCAGCUCCGGGAGGGAGAGUCGAGCAGAGGCAUACCCAUUCCAUUCCUAACUUGGGCAGUGGCUAGCGAAUGAAAGGCAAUCUGCUACAAGU